rnacentral:misc_RNA from 1 species
GUGAAUCAUCGAAUCUUUGAACGCACCUUGCGUUCCUUGGUAUUCCGAGGAGCAUGCCUGUUUGAGUGUCAUUAAAUUCUCAACCUCAUCAGUUUUGUUGUGAGACUGUGUGAGGCUUGGACUGUGGGGGGUUGUGCAGGCUGCCUCAGUGCGGUCUGCUCCCCUGAAAUGCAUUAGCGAGUUUCAACUAGGCUCCGUCUAUUGGUGUGAUAAUUAUCUACGCCAUGGAUUGGGCUUAGACUUGCUUCUAACCGUCCGCAAGGACAAUCUUUUGACAAUUUGACCUCAAAUCAGGUAGGA